rnacentral:lncRNA from 1 species
CCCUGGGAAUUCCGGGAAUCCCCUGAGAAUCCUUCAGCACACUUGGGAAUUCUGGGAAUCCCUCGGGAAUUCCGGGAAUCCCUCAGCACCCCUGGGAAUCCCAGGAAUUUUCCGGGAAUCCCCCGGGAAUCCCUCAGCAUUCCCAGGAAUCCCAGGAAUUUUCCGGGAAUCCCCCGGGAAUCCCUCAGCACCCCCGGGAAUCCCAGGAAUU